rnacentral:rRNA from 1 species
AGGAGUUUGAUCCUGGCUCAGAACGAACGUUGGCGGCGUGGAUUAGGCAUGCAAGUCGAACGAAUCUCACCGGUGUAGCAAUACAUUGGUGGGGGAAGUGGCGAAAGGGGCAGUAAGGCGUGGGUAACCUACCCUGGGGAUGGGCAUAGCCGUUCUAACGAGCGGGUAAUUCCCAGCGAUCCGGCGAAGGGGCAUCUUUUUGCCGGGAAAAGAAUUUCGCCUCGGGAGGGACUCACGUGCUAUUAGCUGGUUGGUGAGGUAACGGCUCACCAAGGCAAAGAUGGCUAGCGGUGUGAGAGCACGACCCGCGCCACUGGCACUGAGACACUGGCCAGACACCUACGGGUGGCUGCAGUCGAGGAUCUUCGUCAAUGGGCGCAAGCCUGAACGAGCGACGCCGCGUGUGCGAUGAAGGCCUUCGGGUUGUAAAGCACUGUCGAGGGGGAUCAAGGUCCGCAAGGGCUUGAUUGAUCCCUGGAGGAAGCACGGGCUAAGUUCGUGCCAGCAGC